rnacentral:tRNA from 1 species
AGCAGCGUGGCUUAGUGGAAAGAGCACAGACUUAGGAGUCAGAGAUUGGGGUUCGAAUCCCGGCUCUGCCA